UACGAAGGUCCCAAGCGUUAUCCGGAUUUAUUGGGUUUAAAGGGUGCGUAGGCGGGCUAUUAAGUCAGUGGUGAAAUCUCCAUGCCUAACAUGGAAACUGCCAUUGAUACUGAUGGUCUUGAGUACAUUUGAAGUGGGCGGAAUGUGUCAUGUAGUGGUGAAAUACUUAGAUAUGUCACAGAACACCGAUUGCAUAGGCAGCUCACUAAACUGUAACUGACGCUGAGGCACGAAAGCGUGGGGAGCAAACAGG
rnacentral:rRNA from 1 species